CACUCCUGCGGGAGGCAGCAGUGGGGAAUAUUGCACAAUGGGCGCAAGCCUGAUGCAGCCAUGCCGCGUGUAUGAAGAAGGCCUUCGGGUUGUAAAGUACUUUCAGCGGGGAGGAAGGCGAUAAGGUUAAUAACCUUGUCGAUUGACGUUACCCGCAGAAGAAGCACCGGCUAACUCCGUGCCAGCAGCCGCGGUAAUACGGAGGGUGCAAGCGUUAAUCGGAAUUACUGGGCGUAAAGCGCACGCAGGCGGUCUGUCAAGUCGGAUGUGAAAUCCCCGGGCUCAACCUGGGAACUGCAUUCGAAACUGGCAGGCUAGAGUCUUGUAGAGGGGGGUAGAAUUCCAGGUGUAGCGGUGAAAUGCGUAGAGAUCUGGAGGAAUACCGGUGGCGAAGGCGGCCCCCUGGACAAAGACUGACGCUCAGGUGCGAAAGCGUGGGGAGCAAACAGGAUUAGAAACCCUUGUAGUCCC
rnacentral:rRNA from 1 species